UUGGCGUGUUGUAUUUUGUCUCUCAAAAAAGAGAUGAAGCAAUUGGAAGCGCACGUCAUUGUAGGUUUGCAACUAGCUCAAUUGGUAGAGCGAAUGACUUUUAAUCAUUUGGUGUCGGUUCAAUUCCGACGUUGACUAAAAAUGCAAAGACGCUUCCGGUGUAUAACGAUAAGUGUUUUAAAGCCUUGGCGGUAUACCGUAACAAGGCAGAUCACAAGCUCGCAAGGCAAGUGAUCUUCUGUCAGGAGAUGCAAGGUGGGUCGAACCUUUACUGGCCGCAAGCCAGACUGAAAUUAAUAGGCAGAGUAGUUAUAUACGACAGGUGAUACGCAGCACCUUUAAAAAUGCAAACACGCUGACUUACUAACCAGCUCUACGGAGUGGUUGGUGGACAACAGAGUAACGAGUAACUGCAAUUAUUCGGUACGCUUAUGGAAAGAGUUAGCAUAUAAACGCGUAGUCUCGGCGU
rfam:Oleiphilus sp. HI0009 HI0009_c34, whole genome shotgun sequence.